AUGGCGAUGGUGAAACUGUUCCACGCCGCAAGCUUGAACCUUCCCAAUUGGUGAUCGAAUUGCUGUCGUUGAG
rnacentral:tRNA from 1 species